rnacentral:rRNA from 3 species
UGACCUCGGAUCAGGUAGGGAUACCG